UCGGCACUUGUCGCGCUUGGACGGCCAUUUUGUUGCCCCCGUUUGGGCGCAAGCUCAAGCGGUCGGGUCUGGUUGCCGGCGCGCAGGUUUCGCUCCGAGCCGCGGCGGACCGCACUUCUCCCUUAGUAGGACGUCGCGACCCGCUCGUCCGUGGCCUACGGCUGAGCAAGACGCCUGGCGCUCGCGUUGGUCCCCUCCGUGGGGCCAGCGGCUGUGUGUCCAGACUGCUCGUGCUUCCCGGCCACGGUAACGGACGGUAUCGAAUACCGGUGUCGAGUCGCUUCUAAGCGGAGGGGGAAAUAAAACACCUCCCCGUACGGAAGCGCCCUAGGCAGAGGGCAAGGUUUUUCUGAGUGUCUAAAAACGUAAGUUUUGAAGUCAAGACGUUUGUUUUCUGUUCGUCUGGCGGAGCUCGGGCCUGUUGGUUCUCUGUCUUUGGGCUGGCUCAUUCCCAUUGCGCGGAGAGUGGCACCAGUCAGCGGCGAUCUAGUUUUGGGCUCUUUUCCGACCCGUCUUGAAACACGGACCAAGGAGUUUAGCGUGCUCGCGAGUCAUUGGGUGUUACAAAACCUAAAGGCGAAAUGAAAGUAAAGAGACGUCUUUUACGACUCUCAAGGGAGGAUGAGCUACUGCUCCUGGUCGUUCUAACCGGCGGCCGAGCGUGUCUCCGCACUCCCGGGGCGAUUCUUUCUCAUUGCGAGUGGAGGCGCACCAAGAGCGAGCACGCUGAAACCCGAAAGAUGGUGAACUAUGCCUGGCCAGGACGAAGCCAGGGGAAACCCUGGUGGAGGUCCGCAGCGAUUCUGACGUGCAAAUCGAUCGUCGGAGCUGGGUAUAGGGGCGAAAGACCAAUCGAACCAUCUAGUAGCUGGUUCCCUCUGAAGUUUCCCUCAGGAUAGCUUGCGCUCGGGUGUGAAGAGUCUCAUCCGGUAGAGCGAAUGAUUAGAGGCCUUGGGGUCGAAACGACCUCAACCUAUUCUCAAACUCCAAAUAGAUGAGAACCCCGGCUUGCUUGAACAUUAUUUUUUUUUGAAGCCGCGGGACUCGGAUCAAAGUGCCAAGUGGGCCAAUUUUGGUAAG
rnacentral:rRNA from 1 species